rnacentral:rRNA from 1 species
AACGCGAAGAACCUUACCUGGGCUCGAACGGCUAGUCAACGAUCGUGGAAACAGAGACUUCCCGCAAGGGACCUGUGUAGAGGUGCUGCAUGGCUGUCGUCAGCUCGUGCCGUGAGGUGUUGGGUUAAGUCCCGCAACGAGCGCAACCCUUACUCGUAGUUGCCACCCGCAAGGGGGAACUCUACGAGGACUGCUCCGGAUAACGGAGAGGAAGGUGGGGAUGAGGUCAAGUCAGCAUGGCCUUUAUGUCCAGGGCUACACACGUGUUACAAUGCGCGCCACAAAGCGUCGCGAACCCGCGAGGGGGAGCUAAUCGCAAAAAAGCGCGCUCAGUUCGGAUUGCAGUCUGCAACUCGACUGCAUGAAGCCGGAAUCGCUAGUAAUGGCGCAUCAGAACGGCGCCGUGAAUACGUUCCCGGGCCUUGUACACACCGGUAUCUC